GCAGUAGACGCUGAAGACUUUAGCUUGCUAAAGUUGGAAGAGUUGCGAACGGGUGAGUAACGCGUAGGUAACCUGCCUACUAGCGGGGGAUAACUAUUGGAAACGAUAGCUAAUACCGCAUAACAGCAUUUAACACAUGUUAGAUGCUUGAAAGGAGCAAUUGCUUCACUAGUAGAUGGACCUGCGUUGUAUUAGCUAGUUGGUGAGGUAACGGCUCACCAAGGCGACGAUACAUAGCCGACCUGAGAGGGUGAUCGGCCACACUGGGACUGAGACACGGCCCAGACUCCUACGGGAGGCAGCAGUAGGGAAUCUUCGGCAAUGGGGGCAACCCUGACCGAGCAACGCCGCGUGAGUGAAGAAGGUUUUCGGAUCGUAAAGCUCUGUUGUAAGAGAAGAACGUGUGUGAGAGUGGAAAGUUCACACAGUGACGGUAACUUACCAGAAAGGGACGGCUAACUACGUGCCAGCAGCCGCGGUAAUACGUAGG
rnacentral:rRNA from 1 species